rnacentral:rRNA from 1 species
GAUGAACGCUGGCGGCGUGCUUAACACAUGCAAGUCGAGCGAGUGAGUUCUUCGGAACGAUCUAGCGGCGGACGGGUGAGUAACACGUGGGCAACCUGCCUCAUAGAGGGGAAUAGCCUCCCGAAAGGGAGAUUAAUACCGCAUAAAAUUAUCGAGUGGCAUCACAUGAUAAUCAAAGGAGUAUUCCGCUAUGAGAUGGGCCCGCGGCGGAUUAGCUAGUUGGUGAGGUAACGGCUCACCAAGGCGACGAUGCGUAGCCGACCUGAGAGGGUGAUCGGCCACAUUGGGACGGAGACACGGCCCAGACUACUACGGGAGGCAGCAGUGGGGAAUAUUGCACAAUGGGGGAAACCCUGAUGCAGCAACGCCGCGUGAGUGAUGAAGGUCUUCGGAUUGUAAAGCUCUGUCUUUGGGGACGAUAAUGACGGUACCCAAGGAGGAAGCCACGGCUAACUACGUGCCAGCCGCCGCGGUAA